rnacentral:rRNA from 1 species
AUGAACGCUGGCGGCGUGCCUAAUACAUGCAAGUCGAGCGCACGGACGAGAAGCUUGCUUCUCUGAUGUUAGCGGCGGACGGGUGAGUAACACGUGGAUAACCUACCUAUAAGACUGGGAUAACUUCGGGAGACCGGAGCUAAUACCGGAUAAUAUUUUGAACCGCAUGGUUCAAAAGUGAAAGACGGUCUUGCUGUCACUUAUAGAUGGAUCCGCGCUGCAUUAGCUAGUUGGUAAGGUAACGGCUUACCAAGGCAACGAUGCAUAGCCGACCUGAGAGGGUGAUCGGCCACACUGGAACUGAGACACGGUCCAGACUCCUACGGGAGGCAGCAGUAGGGAAUCUUCCGCAAUGGGCGAAAGCCUGACGGAGCAACGCCGCGUGAGUGAUGAAGGUCUUCGGAUCGUAAAACUCUGUUAUUAGGGAAGAACAUAUGUGUAAGUAACUGUGCACAUCUUGACGGUACCUAAUCAGAAAGCCACGGCUAACUACGUG